rnacentral:rRNA from 1 species
AUUGAACGCUGGCGGUAUGCUUAACACAUGCAAGUCGAACGGCAGCAUGGUCUAGCUUGCUAGACUGAUGGCGAGUGGCGGACGGGUGAGUAACGCGUAGGAAUAUGCCUUGAAGAGUGGGACAACUUGGGGAAACUCAAGCUAAUACCGCCUGUACUCGAGAGAGUAAAGCUGGGGACCUUUAGUCCUGGCGCUUUAAGAUUAGCCUGCGUCCGAUUAGCUAGUUGGUAGGGUAAAGGCCUACCAAGGCGACGAUCGGUAGCUGGUCUGAGAGGAUGAUCAGCCACACUGGAACUGAGAGACGGUCCAGACUCCUACGGGAGGCAGCAGUGGGGAAUAUUGGACAAUGGGGGGAACCCUGAUUCAGCAAUGCCGCGUGUGUGAAGAAGGCCUGAGGGUUGUAAAGCACUUUCAGUGGGGAGGAGGUUUGGAAGGUUAAGAGCUAUUCAAAUGGACGUUACCCACAGAAGAAGCACCGGCUAACUCCGUGCCAGCCGCCGCGGUAA